GAUGUUUAUUACACAAGUAUGGCUGAUACAAGAUUGACAAGCGGACGCGGUAACUGGACGCUAAUGACAAUGGCCCUAGGUUUGAUAUAGCGAAUCCACGGUCCACGGGAUAACGAAUACACUUUGCUUCAAAGUUUAAGUCGGACUCGACUUACUACUCGUGAUACAAGGAUCGUUUGAUUGACUCUUAGCUAAUGAGAUUGCCAGAAAGGGAAUGACUUUCCGUCACGACGACGCUGCAGAGGAAAACUAUGAUGGGGUGUGCCUAAGGGCACGAGAUCAUCGGAUUCGUCAAAGAAAGCCUCCACUCGGAGGGUGAGGGAAAUAGACGUUGCUGUUAAUUGGUCAAUUUCUAUGUUGGCGGUUAGAAAAGGAUGCUAGCCGCCCUAGAGAGAGAGUUCCUAGCAGGCAACGUCGUACGUGACCAAAUCAGGUUUCCCAUAUCUUCCCGCAAUAGGUGACAGAUUUACAGGCUGAUAGAAUAAAGACUGUUUGUCAAUCUGAAGGACUUUAGUUAACUAAGUCCUAGGAUUUGUAACGGUUCCUCAGGCUAUCUGAACAUAAACUGUAAACGAUGCAUCGACAUCUGGCGAUCAUCUUGCCCAAAGAAUGGGGUCUGUGUGUGGCGAGCUGCGGGGCUGUUGGAAUGUCUUAUUGUCAAGUGUCUGUACUGCCAAUUCUUUAAAGGAAAGCUAUGUAACUUUACAUCUCUGUUAGGUGGAACGUUCAUCCCGUGACCGUGGCUACGCUCGGCGACCGGUUGUCGCCUCGAGCCUAAACUCACUGUCUCAAGUUUCGAAUGACUGUGUCUGGGUUAUUUCGUAAAUGCUACAGUAUUGAGGCUUUUUCCAAAUAAUUCCAACGGGGGGGCCCGGUGUCCUUUCAUCUCCGACAUAUAUAAAUGAAGUUAGGUUUGUAUAUUUCUCUUCAAGAAAUCAAUGCUGCUUUGUGACUUGUAAUUGGUUUAUAAUAGCAUACAAAAAGGUUAUACAAUUUAUAUUAUAUUUUAUAAUGAAACAUGUAUAAUGUUUGUGAAAAAAUAAGGUUAUUAAGAUUCUGGAUCAGCACCUCUUCCUAAAUCAUCUGGUUUUUCUGUUAUAACUAAAGAUCUUCCAAUAACAUCAGGUAUUUUUACAAGUUUA